AAACGGCAUUUAGUGCUUGCACCGAAUGGACGUCGACCGGCGCACGGGUGAGUAACGCGUAUCCAACCUUCCCAUAACUAAGGGAUAACCUGCCGAAAGGCAGACUAAUACCUUAUGUAAUCCUUUGAUGGCAUCAGAUAAGGAUAAAAGAUUUAUCGGUUAUGGAUGGGGAUGCGUCUGAUUAGCUUGUUGGCGGGGUAACGGCCCACCAAGGCAACGAUCAGUAGGGGUUCUGAGAGGAAGGUCCCCCACAUUGGAACUGAGACACGGUCCAAACUCCUACGGGAGGCAGCAGUGAGGAAUAUUGGUCAAUGGACGGAAGUCUGAACCAGCCAAGUAGCGUGCAGGACGACGGCCCUAUGGGUUGUAAACUGCUUUUGUAUGGGGAUAAAGUCAAUCACGUGUGAUUGUUUGCAGGUACCAUACGAAUAAGGACCGGCUAAUUCCGUGCCAGCAGCCGCGGUAAUACGGAAGGUUCGGGCGUUAUCCGGAUUUAUUGGGUUUAAAGGGAGCGUAGGCCGGAGAUUAAGUGUGUUGUGAAAUGUAGACGCUCAACGUCUGACUUGCAGCGCAUACUGGUUUCCUUGAGUACGCACAACGUUGGCGGAAUUCGUCGUGUAGCGGUGAAAUGCUUAGAUAUGACGAAGAACUCCGAUUGCGAAGGCAGCUGACGGGAGCGCAACUGACGCUGAAGCUCGAAGGUGCGGGUAUCGAACAGGAUUAGAUACCCUGGUAGUCCGCACAGUAAACGAUGGAUGCCCGCUGUUGGUACCUAGUAUCAGCGGCUAA
rnacentral:rRNA from 1 species